CGGCAACUUCCGCUUGGGGUUCUUGAGUCCCUCCAGACGACGCUAACGAUCCAAUCAUUUUCCACACCGAAUUAUAUUCCAGAAUUAUAUUUAAUCAACCUACUAUGCAUCUUUUGGCAUGCGAUUGGCUGGUGAUCAGUUCAGGGUGUACCCCACCUCCUGCCCAUUGACAGCCGGGAUAGGCUCCAGCACUCCCUGCGAUCCUCGUGAGGCUAAGCGGCGAAGAAAACGGAUGGAUGGAUGGUCGAGUGAGGGUUGCCGCCUCCAAAACUCUCACGCACACACAGAAGCCGCCGUCCACACUGAAGUUAUUUGAAAGAAUAAAGACAGGCACUCAUUGGCUGACCCGCAGGCUUUUUGUGUGCUAGUUUUUAAGACUAUUGAGUGCUGUCUCAUUUGGAAAAAGUUGGGACCAUGACAUUUUUUCACCCCCCCCCCCCCCCCAAAAAAAAAAGUUUGGUAAUUGCAUCACCUUUUACCUUUUGAAGAAUGGUUCUGGAGUAUAACCAACAAUAAUCAACUACUAUACAUUAAGUUACAUUAUGUUGCACACACAAAAAAAUGGUUUAUAAAAUGAUUUAUUCAUGUUAACAUCGCUGUUACACAGGGAUUCAAACGGUUCCACAAGGCUUUAGGGGACUACAAUUGAAUGAUUAGCAAAACAAUAGUGGUCCAAAUCUCUAAAUGACAAGCACUGGACAGACAAGCAGACCACCCUCUUUUUCGAAUGUGUACAAACCUGCAUUGAAAAAAAAAAAAGAUUAAACUUGACAAAUUGAACUUGUGUGUUACAGCAUUUGUUCCCAUUCCAGUGUAAUAUCUCAAGAGACAUGCAAAUGACAGAAUUGUCUUCAUUUACUCAUUUGAAAGGUCUUGGCAUGUCGGCCAGUGAAGCCCCCCCACAACCCCCCUCCCCCCUUGCCCCAAAGAGACAUGCUUCAGUGAAAGUGGCAUCAAAGUGAGGAUGAAUCCAAUGGAGACUACGAUUUGCUGCCAGCAUGCAUGGAACACUGGCAUUCCCUGCAGCAUGAAAACUAUCUGAAGUGGAAUUUCAGACGCUGUAACCGUACCACAUGAUUGCUCUUUUUUUUUGUCUUUUAUUUUUUUAAAGACAGAAGGAAGAGGAAACUAAGAUGAUAACCUGGAAACAAAAUCUUCCUCAGAGGUUGAACUGCCAGUUGUUCGAUGUAGGGGACUUGGGAGGAUUUCUGCCUCUAACUUUAGGAAACAGCGUAAGAUGUGAAGCUAUCAAUACUCUUCUACAUCUGAAAUUGCACAUACUGAAAAGGCCAGGACACACACACAAACCAAAGGAAUGGAGGGUUUUACUUUUACGGGUUAUCCUAAUCUUUUUUCUUUACUCCCAUUUUUUUUUUUCAUGAUUACAUGAUUUUUUUUCCCAGCAAUGGGUUUCAUUGGAAGAAUGUAGGAUCGGAGCAAUAGGGAAUGACGGAUGUGUAAAAAGUUUUUUUUGUUUUUUUUAAUCCUUUUGUUGGUUUGAGAGAACAAGGACUUUUUUUUUUUUCUUUUUUUAGUUCUCAGUUU